AACCCAAAAGGGUCUCAACGAUGAACUCUCACUUUGAGGAAUUAUGGAGUCUCAAUCACAUUGAACAGUAACAAAUGAUAAGACAGAGGUAUAUAUAUGGUUUCUAUUUUCAUGUUUAUUUCCAUCUCAUCACUAACAACCUCUCUAAUUGCGUUUUUCAUUCAAGGUCCCUUCUUGUCUGACUAACGUAAAUUGCACUUUUAAAGUUGUUUGAAUUUUUUUUUAUAUUAAAAAGAAAGCGCUUUUGUAGUUUAAACAAUAUUUUUUCUUUAACUAGUUUACUCAAACACUUCUAUACAUAAUUUGUAGUUCUUAACAUUGCUUUUAAAUUUAUCUAAUUAAAUAUUGUUUCACUGGUAUUUUGAUUACCAAGUUUGUAUUAAAAGAUUUCAAUUCAAAAAAUAGAUAGGACUUCUUUUACAAAGUUUGAUCUAGAGACUUAUCAAUUUAACUUGUCAAGAUUUUGCAUUGAAACGAAUAACUUCAUUAAUAUUCUUACAAUCUUGCUUUUGCACCUUUAAUUCCUCGGUUGAAACUUUUUUAUUGUGCACUUUAUGAUUGGUGGCUUCUUUCUCCACAACUCUCCAACUUCUUAACAUGAAUGCCUUGCAUUCUUUUCUUAGAUUGAUCUCAAUCUCACUUAAAAAAGUGUUAGUGAGUUUUGUUAAUUGUUGAGCAAUUUAGCCAAUUUGUAUUUUCAAUUUCUUAAGUGAAGCACUUUGAUUUUAAAAAUUAGACCUUGUUUCUUCCAUGAAUUUCUCCAGGACAAGUUUAAGAUAAGAGAGUCUUUGAGACUCUUGAGAGGGUUGUGUGAAUUGUGGUUGCGGUUGGUGAGAAUUGUUUGAAUUUUGAAGAAUUAAAAGUGAUAUUUUGUGGGUUUGAAAAUGAUUUUGAGUAUUUGAUUGGGAGUUGAAAUUGUUUGCAUGGUUGAAAUUAUAAUUUUUUUUGUCUUGGUUUUGUUGAUUUUUUCACCUAAAAUUAGGGUGGUUUCUCUAUCUAAGAUUACAUAUUUAAGAGUAUGAAUCAUUUUGUUGUGUCCUGGAGAAGUUCAUAAAAUUAACUUGCUCUACUUAUAAUUGAUUAGUGUUGAAUGAGUCAAAAUUUUUACCAAAUUGAUUUCCGUCGUUCAUAUCAUGCAAUGAGCUUUGUGUGUUGAUGGUAGAGACUUACUUCCUCCCAUUUGCUUAGUGAGUAUGGAGAGUUGUUGAGACAUGACUUUAUUUUAGGCCACAGUAUCAAGAAUUUUUAGUUACAUCACUCCUCUUUAUGUCUUCAUAUUUCUUUCUGAAGAGUAGACGUAUUGAUUAUUUGUAAUAAUGUCAAUGAAUUCCAUGACUUCACUAGGAGUUUUCAUGUGUAAUGAUCCCCCUGAUAAAUUAUCCAAUGAACUCCUUGAGAUUUGAGCGAUUCUAUCAUAAAAGAUUUGUAAUUGGACCCAAUCCGCAAAUAUAUUUGGUUGACAUUUUUUCAACAUCCCUUUGUUUCUUUCCCAAGCCUCAUAUAAGGAUUCUCCUUCAAGUUGCCUAAAAUUUUGCACUUCUGUUCUCAAUUAUAUUUUAUCAAUUUUUGAGGAGG
rnacentral:lncRNA from 1 species